UACGGGGGGAGCAAGCGUUGUUCGGAUUUACUGGGCGUAAAGGGCGCGUAGGCGGCCACCGCAAGUCGGUUGUGAAAUCUCUGGGCUUAACCCAGAAAGGUCAACCGAUACUGCGGGGCUAGAGUGCAGAAGGGGCAACUGGAAUUCUCGGUGUAGCGGUGAAAUGCGCAGAUAUCAGGAGGAACACCGGUGGCGAAGGCGGGUCUCUGGGCCGAUACUGACGCUGAGGAGCGAAAGCGUGGGGAGCGAACAGG
rnacentral:rRNA from 1 species